rnacentral:lncRNA from 1 species
AGUGAUACACCAUGCAUCAUGUUCACAAAAGGAUAGGUAAAAGACGCAUGUAUGAGAAAUAAGUUUUACAAAAUGACUAUACAUCAGGUUCACAAAAGUACAUGUAAAGGAUGCAUGCAUGAGACAUCGGUUGUAAAAAAUGAAAUCUAACACAUCUAGUUGACGUAGAUCAUUGGCUUCAUGGUUCCAUGGGAGUGAAGUCCUUUUGUUUGCUUCCUACAAAAUUUAAACAAUUCUCAAUUAUAAUACACUAUUAGAAACUACACUACAAAAAAAAAUCAAACAUAUAGGAUCAUCACAUUCUCAAAACUAUAAAUAAUAAUAAAUACAGAGAGUUCAAUAGCCAUGUCUUAAUACUAACGUUGAUCCUCGACUGAGUUCACCCCAGCCGACCCACCAUCUCCAUAAGGAGUUGAUAGGUCAGCAAAGGCGUUUGUUUCUUCUCAUUAAAAUAAGAUAAAUUACUCUAUUGGCAUAGGCAAAAAAAACUUGAGUGUGCAUCAUCUUGAGCUAGCCAGAAGGGUAAGCAUUUAUUUUUGUUUAUACAAUUAUUAAUUUUGUACUAUAUAAAUCAUUCAUUCUUCUGCAUUUGUAGUAUUGUCAGCAUCUCAUUGAGGUCAUUUUCACUUUUUGGCAUGUGACAGCGAAUGAGCAAUGCUUAUCUAGCUAUUUAAUUUGAUUUUCAAGGACUACACUUGUGCAGACUUAUUAUACAAAUUUGUAGAUCUUACUAAGACAACUUAAGUAACAUGUGUGCUAAGCAUAGAGUUUUUUAUACUGUUCUUCAUGAAAGGAGAUUGACUAGGUGGUAAAUACAUCCCUUAUUUUGACUUUAAAUUUCACAAAAUAAAAGGGAUGGGUCAAGUUACCUUCACAUGUCAACUCAGGAAACAUGUUUUUGUGUAUAGCUAUACUCAAGUUACCUUCACAAGUUGGCAGAGGCCCUGCAAUUCUGCAUGAUACACCAAAACACACAUUAUUAAGGUUAUGUGGUAAGCAAAACAACUAGACUCAGAACAGCAAGCUGCCAAUUAAAUUCCUAAACAGCAAUGUGAAUAUGAGAGUACAAAAACUGAUGCCUAUACUGACCAGAGCGUGACAUAUCAAACACAGAUAAUGCUCCAAUCAACCUAGGGAUGCCAUUAUGCUCCUCCACAACCCUUGUCGCGUCCUCCAUGAGAGGUAGCCUGCAUCAUUGUUAUCCCUCACACGCCCUCCUUCGCCACCAUCACUCAUCACCGUCACCUCUUGACCUCACUCGACACCACCAUGACAUGAUGAUUCGGUCUGGGGUUUGGUGGAGGAGGGAGGGGGCAAUCGCUAGUCCUCUUUGACCUUUGCACUUCUCUGUCCAGCAUCUGGAACUAAAACUAACUUCAAUAGUAUAUAAAAUCAAAUAAUGUAUAAUUCAGAAAAAUACUCAAGUAUUAUAUAGAAAACAUUCAUGUAUACAAAGGCUAAAAUGAUAAGGGAAAAUACUAUCUAAUAACUGUAAAACCUGUAGAAGCAUGAUUGUAAAUUAGAAACUGCUAACAUACGUAUCUAAU